UGACGCUAGGUUGAACAUGAGCCAGCAGUGUGAUCAGGUGGCCAAGAAGGCCAAUGGCAUCCUGGCUUGUAUCAGAAAUAGUGUUGCCAGCAGGAAUAGGGAAGUAAUUGUCCCCCUGUACUCAGCACUGGUGAGGCUGCACCUCGAGUACUGUGUCCAGUUUUGCGUCCCUCACUGUAAGAAAGACAUCAAGGCCCUGGAGCGUGUCCAGAGGAGGGCAACAAAGCUGGUGAGGGGUGUGGAGCACAGGCCUUAUUAGGAGCAGCUGAAGGAGCUGGGAUUGUUCAGUCUAGAGAAGAGAAGGCUCAGGGGAGACCUUCUUGCUUACUAUAACUACCCAAAGGGAGGUUGUAGUGAGCUGGGAGUCGGCCUCUUCCCUUGGGUGACUAGUGAUAGGACUAGAGGGAAUGGCUUCAAGCUGUGGCAGGGAAGGUUCAGGCUGGACGUUAGGAAAUACUACUUCUCUGAAAGGGUGGUCAGGCACUGGAAUGGGCUGUCCAGAGAGGUGGUGGAGUCACUGAGCCUGAUGGUGUUCAAAGAACAUUUGGAUGCUGUGUUGAGGGACAUGGUUUAGCGAGAACCAUUGGUGAUGGGUGGAUGGUUGGACUGGAUGAUCCUGUGGGUCUUUUCCUACCUUAGCGAUUCUAUGAUUCUAUGAUUCUAUGUUGGGGUGAUGCAUGCUGAGAAGAAAGGAAAGAAGAUGUGGAACUAGGUGCUGAAGCACUUCUGUCACCUCUGCUAGCUCCCUUUAAGGUGAAGAGAGGGCAUAGCUUUCUCCAGCUGAGGUGAAAAUAGCAGUAAUGGUGAGGGUGAGUUCAGCCUCCUUUCUUAAGUGUCCUGCUCAGGAUUGUAUGGAUAGAGGAAGAGGAGGAAGGGAUAAAAUUUAAUGAAAUAUAGAAUGCUUUAUCUUCCUUUUUUUAAGGAUGAGAAACAUGGUCUUGGUAAAGUCUUGAAAUUACUGGAAGCGGUAAUAUCAGUGGGGAAAGCUGGCAGCUUCAAGGAGCACUGCGUCUGAGGAAUGUAUGCUCUGUUGAAACAAGUUAAGGCAUAUCUACCAUACACUUUAGUAGUGUAUAAAGUACUUGUUUCUUUUUUAUAAUCA
ensembl:lncRNA